UACGGAAGGUGCAAGCAUUAAUCGGAUUUAUUGGGCGUAAAGGGCGCGUAGGCGGGUGAGCAAGUUAGAUGUGAAAUUUCGGGGCUUAACCCCGAAGCUGCAUUUAAAACUACUCAUCUUGAGGGUAGGCGGAGAAAAUGGAAUUCCACGUGUAGCGGUGAAAUGCGUAGAUACGUGGAGGAACACCGGUGGCGAAAGCGGUUUUCCAGCUUAUACCUGACGCUGAGGCGCGAGAGCAAGGGGAGCAAACAGG
rnacentral:rRNA from 1 species